rnacentral:lncRNA from 1 species
AUCUGUCAUUUUCUAGCUUCUCCAGCUGAGACUUCUCGGAGCAUUUUCUGAAUUCACCCUAUGUUAUAUGAUCCUCAUGUAGCCGGUUCCUCCAAUGACAUAAACUCGAAUUAUAAGAAUCUAUCUUCGUGAUAACAUGACGUAUAAAUGCCACUCUAAAAGGAAAUCGUUCGUCAAUGAAGUUCUAGUUAAUAAAUCUCCAGUUUCGUUUGUUAGUAGGAACGCGAUAUAUUGAUUUUGUUUUAUCUCAUGUUGCUAGUGCACGUUAGUAAUGGCGGCUAGAAUGAGAGUGACGAAUGUUUGAUGAAAGAAUUUCUGUGUAUCGACAAAAAGAACAAUGGAACUGAUCUACCCGGGGAGAGUGUCCUAUAUCGAGAACGUAGCUUACGAUCGGCGAAUCGCCGUAAGAGAAAGCGCGACUUCGCAUGUCGCCGCCAUCUAUCGGGAAGAAAAAUAUUUAUUUGUCUUUGCUGAUUUUUUCCCCUUAUUAGGAGUUUUCUCACUUCUAUCCUUUACCCUACGGCGCUUUUUGUCUUCGGAUAACUCUGUCUUCACGUGACUCGAUGCCGGGUCCUUUCAUUGCGAAGGCCACUUCUAUACAGACUAUGCCAUGCGUUCUUUUUAGCGAU